UGGGGAAUAUUGCACAAUGGGCGGAAGCCUGAUGCAGCGACGGGCGCGGCGGGGAGGGGUGNGCCUNNGGGUUGUAAACUNCUCCUUUCGACAGGGACGAACUUUUGUGACGGUACCUGUAUAAGAAGCACCGGCUAACUACGUGCCAGCAGCCGCGGUAAUACGUAGGGUGCGAGCGUUGUCCGGAAUUACUGGGCGUAAAGAGCUCGUAGGUGGUUUGUCGCGUCGUCUGUGAAAUUCCGGGGCUUAACUCCGGGCGUGCAGGCGAUACGGGCUGACUUGAGUGCUGUAGGGGAGACUGGAAUUCCUGGUGUAGCGGUGAAAUGCGCAGAUAUCAGGAGGAACACCGAUGGCGAAGGCGACUUUCUGGUCUGUAACUGACGCUGAUGUGCGAAAGCGUGGGGAUCAAACAGGAUUAGAUACCCUGGUAGUCCACGCCGUAAACGAUGAGUGCUAAGUGUUAGGGGGUUUCCGCCCCUUAGUGCUGCAGCUAACGCAUUAAGCACUCCGCCUGGGGAGUACGACCGCAAGGUUG
rnacentral:rRNA from 1 species